rnacentral:rRNA from 4 species
AAUACUGGGUUGUCUCUGCUCCAUGGUUUAAAUAGCCGCAGUAUCUUGACUGUGCUAAGGUAGCAUAAUAAUUUGUCUCUUAAUUGGGGGCUGGCAUGAAAGAGUUGACGACGCUUAGGCUUUUUAGCUAACAAAGGGAACUUGAUAUUUGCUUUAAAAAGAGCAAAUAUCUGGGGGGACGAUAAGACCCUGUGAAACUUUAAUUUAAGGUAUUUUAGGUUAUUUAGGAAAACUAAAAGUAUUAAAUUAAGCUGGGGCGGCAAUUAAAAGACAUUAAUAAUGAUAACACGAUUAGUGAGUUUUAAGGUCUCGUUAAGAGAUAGAGCAAGUUACUUCAGGGAUAACAGCACAAUUUUUUCAGAUAGGCCACAUAGAAGGAAAAGACUUGUGACCUCGAUGUUGAAUUGGGGGGUCUUGUUUAAGCAGAAAUAAAUGAAGAGGGUCUGUUCGACCUUUAUUUCCCC